UACGAAGGGUGCAAGCGUUACUCGGAAUUACUGGGCGUAAAGCGCACGUAGGCGGAUUGUUAAGUCAGGGGUGAAAUCCUGGAGCUCAACUCCAGAACUGCCUUUGAUACUGGCGAUCUCGAGUCCGGGAGAGGUGAGUGGAACUGCGAGUGUAGAGGUGAAAUUCGUAGAUAUUCGCAAGAACACCAGUGGCGAAGGCGGCUCACUGGCCCGGUACUGACGCUGAGGUGCGAAAGCGUGGGGAGCA
rnacentral:rRNA from 1 species